rnacentral:misc_RNA from 1 species
GCGCAUUCUUCAACAGACUCCUGUGAGAUGUCUUCAAUACUGUUGCCUUCUGUGAUCUGUCCUGCAGUGUCCUCUCCUGUAGAUAUAUGCACCCCCCUUUCAGUCUGUUCAGAGCUCUGAACUGUCUCUAUGUUAAUUACUUCGGAUGGAAGCUGCAUAAUAUUGUCUUUUAUGUUCUGUUCAUCAUUGACCUCACCAGUGCCUAUGACCUCUUCAUUUUUUAUACUUCUGUUCUCUUUGUCUUCUCCUUCACCUUUCAACGUUAUUACUGCUUCUGCAAGACUUGCUGCU